rnacentral:rRNA from 1 species
UACGUAGGGUGCGAGCGUUAAUCGGAAUUACUGGGCGUAAAGCGUGCGCAGGCGGUUUUGUAAGCCAGAUGUGAAAUCCCCGGGCUCAACCUGGGAAUGGCAUUUGGGACUGCAAGGCUGGAGUUUGGCAGAGGAGACUGGAAUUCCACGUGUGGCAGUGAAAUGCGUAGAGAUGUGGAGGAACACCGAUGGCGAAGGCAGCCCCCUGGGCUAACACUGACGCUCAGGCACGAAAGCGUGGGGAGCAAACAGG